rnacentral:rRNA from 1 species
GGAAUUGACGGGGAGCACUACAACGGGUGGAGCCUGCGGUUUAAUUGGACUCAACGCCGGAAAACUCACCGGGGGCGACAGCAAUAUGUAGGUCAAGCUAAAGACUUUACCAGAAUCGCUGAGAGGAGGUGCAUGGCCGUCGUCAGUUCGUACUGUGAAGCAUCCUGUUAAGUCAGGCAACGAGCGAGACCCGUGCCCACUGUUGCCAGCAUGUCCUUCGGGAUGAUGGGUACUCUGUGGGACCGCCGAUGCUAAAUCGGAGGAAGGUGCGGGCUACGGUAGGUCAGUAUGCCCCGAAUCUCCCGGGCUACACGCGGGCUACAAUGACUGGGACAAUGGGCUCCUACCCCGAAAGGGGAUGGUAAUCUCAUAAACCCAGCCUUAGUUCGGAUCGAGGGCUGUAACCCGCCCUCGUGAAGCUGGAAUCCGUAGUAAUCGCGUUUCAACAUAGCGCGGUGAAUACGUCCCUGCUCCUU